rnacentral:lncRNA from 1 species
CUUCGGGCGGAAGCCAAAAGGUGCCUCGUGAGGGAAUGCGUGCUCGUAUUCCNNNNNNNNNNNNNNNNNNNNACUUAAGCACAUGACACUUCAGAGUUUUGCCCGAUGUGGAAUUUUUUAAGGGAGGUCCCCCCGCGGCUUGCCCACAACAGGCUCCCCACUCUGGAGAGUCAUGUGCUCUCCUUUCAGAAGGGCAUGUGCCGCGGACAGGGGGUGGGUGGCUUCUUCCUGGCACGCCGCUGAUGUGUCCACGUGUCAAGGGUCGUCGAAGGCAUCGUCUCGGACCUCUCUUCAGGGAUGCCGCCAACCGGCGCACGUGCACCCAGAGUCACGGUUUUGUCCCUCGGACGGAAGCCAAAAGGCACCUCGUGAGGGAAUGCGUGCUCGUAUCCCACUUAAGCACAUGACACUUCAGAGUUUCAGAGUUUUGCCCGACGUAGAAAUUUUUAAGGGAGGUCCCCCCGCGGCCUGCCCACAACACAGCCCCCCACUCUGGAGAGUCAUGUGCUCUCCUUUUGGAAGGGCAUGUGCCACGGACAGGGGGCGGGUGGCCCCUACCUGGCGCGCCACUGAUGUGUCCUCAUGUCAAGGGUCGUCGGAGGCAUCGCCUCGGACCUCACGAAGUAUUGUCCGCUCUCCCCAGGGACGUCGCCAACCGGCGCACGUGUAUCCGAAGUCACGGUUUUGCCCUUCGGGCGGAAGCCAAAAGGCGCCUCGUGAGGGAAUGCGUGCUCGUAUCCCNNNNNNNNNNNNNNNNNNNNGGGAAUGCGUGCUCGUAUCCCACUUAAGCACAUGACACUUCAGAGUUUUGCCCAAUGUGGGACUUUUUAAGGGAGGUCCCCCCGCGGCCUGCCCACAACACAGCCCCUCACUCUGGAGAGUCAUGUGCUCUCUUUUCGGAAGGGCAUGUGCCGUGGACAGGGGGCGGGUGGCCCCUACCUGGCGCGCCACUGAUGUGUCCACAUGUCAAGGGUCGUCGGAGGCAUCGCCUCGAACCUCACGAAGUAUUGUCCGCUCUCUCCAGGGACGUCGCCAAUCGGCGCACGUGCAUCCGAAGUCACGAUUUUGCCCUUCGGGCGGAAGCCAAAAGGCGCCUCAUGAGGGAAUGCGUGCUCGUAUCCCACUUAAGCAUAUGACACUUCAGAGUUUUAUCCGAUGUGGGACUUUUUAAGGGAGGUCCCCCCGCGGCUUGCCCACAACACAGCCCCCCACUUUGGAGAGUCAUGUGCUCUCCUUUCGGAAGGGCAUGUGCCGCAGACAAGGGGCGAGUGGCCCUUACCUGGCGCGCCACUGAUGUGUCCACGUGUCAAGGGUCGUCGGAGGCAUCGUCUCGGACCUCACGAAGUAUUGUCCGCUCUCUCCAGGGACGCCGCCAACCAGCGCACGUGCACCCGGAGUCACAGUUUUGCCCUUCGGACGGAAGCCAAAAGGCACCUCGUGAGGGAAUGCGUGCUCGUAUCCCACUUAAGCACAUGACACUUCAGAGUUUUGCCCGAUGUGGGACUUUUUAAGGGAGGUCCCCCUGCGGCCUGCCCACAACAGGACUUUUCUUGAUGAGAGGACCUAAAAUUUGAAUGGAGUCUAGGAUUAUGAUGAUGUGGACUGUCUAGGUCGGUUGUUUUGUGAAUUAGGGG